GUUAAUGUGGCAAAAGUUUUAUGUGUUGAAUUUAAGCUUCAUGGAUGAUGUUUCCUUUAACG
rnacentral:tRNA from 1 species